CACACCAAUAGAAUAUAGUUUCUUAUAAACAAAUCAACACGAAUGGUAGAAGCAUACAGAGCCGCAGAGGAUGAGACUCAAGGUUGUGUCGAGAAUAUUAGACGCAAUUCCAGGGGAAAAAACUUUUGGAGUUUACAGACUACUACCUUUUAUGUUCGUUGCAGGCGCAGUGUUAGAAUAUGCAAUGAUCCAUUGGACGGCGGGUUCGACAAAUUUUUAUAUAACAUACAGGAAAAAUCAAGCCAAAAAACAAGCCAUCUCAGAAUUGAUGAGUAGCAGAGAAAUUACAUUGGACUAUCUCAUGGAAAAACGGAGACCAGAGUGAGAGGUGCUGAUUAACUGUAUUUGGUCCAUAUUUGUUUUGUGGUGGUUCAAAAUAGGAAGGAACAAAUAUGCCGGCAGGUGUCUCUAUGACACAAUAUUUAACGGCUUUGGCAGCAUUCAUGUCGACUGCAAUGGCUGGUUCAACAAUUGUCUUCAAAUUUUACAAUCCUUUUGAAGGCUUUGAGGAACAAGUUGAAAAAGAAAAAGAGAAGAUCAGAGAAGAUUUCAACAAAUAUUGUGAGAGAAAAUUGGCAGAAAAGAAGAGUGAUAUAUCAUGACAUACAAACAAAAACUGUAUUUAUGUGACUGAUUAUAUUUAAGAUAUAAAUAUAAAAAUUAAAACAAUAUAUUCCUGUAUGGA